rnacentral:rRNA from 1 species
GAAGGUACUUGUACCUUAGUGGCGAACGGGUGAGUAACACGUAGAUAAUCUGCCCUCAAGACGAGGAUAACUGUUGGAAACGAUAGCUAAUACUGGAUAGGUAUAUAGGAGGCAUCUCUUAUAUAUUAAAGGACCACUGGUAUACUUGAGGAUGAAUCUGCGGCGCAUUAGUUAGUUGGUGAGGUAAUGGCUCACCAAGACGAUGAUGCGUAGCCGGACUGAGAGGUUGAACGGCCACACUGGGACUGAGAUACGGUCCAGACUCC